rnacentral:rRNA from 1 species
ACCUAAUAGAUACCCUGGUAGUCCACGCCCUAAACGAUGCGAACUGGAUGUUGGGUACAUUACGGUACUCAGUGUCGAAAGCUAAACGCGUUAAGUUCGCCGCCUGGGGAGUACGGUCGCAAGACUGAAACUCAAAGGAAUUGACGGGGGCCCGGCACAAGCGGUGGAGUAUGUGGUUUAAUUACGAUGCAACGCGAAGAACCUUAACCUGGCCGUUGACAUCUGUCGAAUCCUCGCAGAGAUGCGGGAGUGCCGCAAGGAACGACAAGACAGGUGCUGCAUGGCUGUCGUCAGCUCGUGUCGUGAGAUGUUGGGUUAAAGUUCCCGCAACGAGCGCAACCCUUGUCCCUAGUUGCCAGCACAUCAUGG